rnacentral:rRNA from 1 species
GAGGGAGGAUGGGCGCGGCUACGUGCCGCGCCCCGCACUCCCGGGGCGUCUCGUUCUCAUCGCGAGAAGAGGCGCACCCAGAGCGUACACGCUGGGACCCGAAAGAUGGUGAACUAUGCCUGGUCAGGACGAAGUCAGGGGAAACCCUGAUGGAGGUCCGUAGCGAUUCUGACGUGCAAAUCGAUCGUCGGAACUGGGUAUAGGGGCGAAAGACUAAUCGAACCAUCUAGUAGCUGGUUCCCUCCGAAGUUUCCCUCAGGAUAGCUGGCGCUCGCUUUUGCGAGUCUCAUCCGGUAAAGCGAAUGAUUAGAGGCAUUGGGGUCGAAACGGCCUCAACCUAUUCUCAAACUUUAAAUGGGUGAGAUCUCCGGCUUGCUUAAAUUUUAUUUAUGAAGCCGCGAGAUCGGAUCAGAGUGCCAAGUGGGCCAUUUUUGGUAAGCAGAACUGGCGCUGUGGGAUGAACCAAACGCGGAGUUAAAGCGCCUAAAUCGACGCUUAUGGGAUACCAUGAAAGGCGUUGGUAACUUAAGACAGCAGGACGGUGGCCAUGGAA